rnacentral:sRNA from 1 species
GCUAGGCAUGGUGGUGCAUGCCUGUAAUCCCAGCUACUCUGAGGCUGUUGCAGCAGGACCUCAAAUUUGAGGCCAUCCUGAGCAACUU